UACGUAGGGAGCGAGCGUUGUCCGGAUUCAUUGGGCGUAAAGAGCUCGUAGGCGGCUUGGCAAGUCGGGUGUGAAAACUCCAGGCUCAACCUGGAGACGCCACCCGAUACUGCUGUGACUCGAGUCCGGUAGGGGAGUGGGGAAUUCCUGGUGUAGCGGUGAAAUGCGCAGAUAUCAGGAGGAACACCGGUGGCGAAGGCGCCACUCUGGGCCGGUACUGACGCUGAGGAGCGAAAGCGUGGGGAGCAAACAGG
rnacentral:rRNA from 1 species